GCUGCCUAAGGUGUCCGCAGGGUCACAGCUGCACCCCAGGAAGGACCCGGAAGGAAAAACUCCGGGGCUUUUAAUGGGCUGUGGCCCAGUUGUUUCAAGAUUCUGCUCACAAUGCAGAGAAGAUUCAUUUCCGGUAUAUGUUAUUACAAGAAAUUGAAUGUAAUUCCCUGUGCUAUAUACAGAAACAGCCUGCUUAAAUCUAUACACUACUCUGCAGAAAAUCAGAAUGCAAAAAGUAGCUGCUGAAUACAGCCAUGAAGGCAGUGAAUUCAAUAAGAGCAUUGGCUGGAACUUACAGCACCACACUGAGUAAGAGGGGUGAGAACUGACGUCUUUGCCCUGUUCCUGAUCUUAGACGGAGACUGUUUGUGAGAAACUGUCUUCCGAAGUGGCCGUAUUGAGUUCCCAGCAGCAAUGAAGGAGAGUGCCUGUUGUUCCACAUCCCCAGCGGCAUCUGGCGUUGCCAGUGUUCUCUGCAUUUUGGCUGUUUUAAUAGGUAGAGUAUCCACGAAGGAGGCCACUGCAUGACCUGAGCAGCUUACUGCUUGGUCGGUCUGCUGCGCCCGGACGCCUCGCAGGAGGGGCUCAGCAAGGACACCACCUUCUCGCAGUAGCCCUCGCAUUCCUGCACGAGGGCCCGUGUCGCUGUGCAGUGAAAAGUGUGUCCCACUCGUGUCUCAGCAAAGUUCCAGACGUUAUGGAUUCAUCACAUAUAAAUUCUUUAAAAAUAUACUUCUGUCAAAAGACUUGAGGACUACUAUGUACACUAC